AUGGGAGACUUGAAUGAUAUCCUGUAUGAUGUUGAUGGUUGUAUUGGUAAUAUCAACUACUAUCGGAUGCAUGCUUUCCGAUCCUUGGUUAAAAAUUAUGGCUUGUUUGACAUUGUCUUUAGUGGCCCUGCUUAUACUUGGUGUGGUAGGCAGAAUACUUCUAAUCCUAUUCAUAGACGCCUCGAUUGUUGCUUGGUUAAUUCUGAUUGGUGCUCUUAUUAUCCUAAUACCUAAGUUUUGAACCUUCCCAUCAUUCUCAGUGAUCAUGCUCCUAUUUUAAUUUCUACUGAGAGUAAAUUUGUGAAACCUAAGCAAAUUUUCAAAUUUGAGAAU
rnacentral:rRNA from 1 species